rnacentral:rRNA from 1 species
UACAGGGGGUGCAAACGUUGCUCGGAAUCAUUGGGCGUAAAGCGCACGUAGGCGGUCUGUUAUGUCGGAUGUGAAAGCCCUUGGCUUAACUGAGGAAGUGCAUCCGAAACUGGCAGGCUAGAGUACUAAAGAGGGUCGCGGAAUUCCCGGUGUAGAGGUGAAAUUCGUAGAUAUCAGGAGGAACACCGGUGGCGAAGGCGACACGCUGGGCCGUACCUGACACUGAUGCGCGACAGCAUGGGGAGCAAACAGG